AUUGAACGCUGGCGGAAUGCUUUACACAUGCAAGUCGAACGGCAGCACGGGAGCUUGCUCCUGGUGGCGAGUGGCGAACGGGUGAGUAAUGCGUCGGAACGUGCCGAGUAAUGGGGGAUAACGCAGCGAAAGUUGUGCUAAUACCGCAUACGCCCUGAGGGGGAAAGUGGGGGAUCGCAAGACCUCACGUUAUUCGAGCGGCCGACGUCUGAUUAGCUAGUUGGUGGGUAAAGGCCUACCAAGGCGACGAUCAGUAGCGGGUCUGAGAGGAUGAUCCGCCACACUGGGACUGAGACACGGCCCAGACUCCUACGGGAGGCAGCAGUGGGGAAUUUUGGACAAUGGGGGCAACCCUGAUCCAGCCAUUCCGCGUGAGUGAAGAAGGCCUCGGUUGUAAGUACGUCUUUCUAGCUGGAGUGAAACGGUAGCGCGUCUAACAUAGCGCGCGUAAUAGACGGUACCGAGCAGAAGAAGACACCGG
rnacentral:rRNA from 1 species